rnacentral:rRNA from 1 species
CAGAGGUGGCAAGCGUUGUUCGGAAUUACUGGGCGUAAAGGGCGCGUAGGCGGUCUUUUUAGUCAGACGUGAAAUCCCCCGGCUUAACCUGGGAACUGCGUCUGAUACUGGAAGGCUUGAAUGCGGGAGAGGGAUGUGGAAUUCCAGGUGUAGCGGUGAAAUGCGUAGAUAUCUGGAGGAACACCGGCGGCGAAGGCGGCAUCCUGGACCGACAUUGACGCUGAAGCGCGAAAGCUAGGGGAGCAAACGGGAUUAGAUACCCCGGUAGUCCUAGCCCUAAACGAUGAGUGCUUGGUGUGGCGGGUAUCGAUCCCUGCCGUGCCGAAGCUAACGCAUUAAGCACUCCGCCUGGGGAGUACGGUCGCAAGGCUG